GGAUUGUGGCUCAGAGGUAGAGCGCACGCCUAGCAUGCAUGAGGCACUGGAUUCGAUCCUCAGCACCA
rnacentral:tRNA from 1 species